rnacentral:lncRNA from 10 species
CUUUUCCUUCUACCUGAUUUGCUUUCCUCAUUUUAGUCUUUCAGGGAUCAGCUCCUUCUUCAAUGGGGACUUUCUGGAGUAGCCCCAAAGGGACAGGGCUUAGCUUCUUCUGAUCACCUCCACUUUCCUCAGAUCUCUCUCAGGGCCAUGGCCAUGGCCUGGAAGAACUUUUCCCACGGGCUCUUUUUUGGUUCCAAAUCAAUUUCAGAACUGUUUUCUCUAACUCUGUGAAGAAUGAAAUUUUUUGUUGUUGUUGUUUGUUUGUUUGUUUUCAGACAGAGUCUCGCUCUGUCUCCCAGGCUGGAGUGCAGUGGCACGAUCUCAGCUCACUGCAAUCUCUGUCUCCUGGGUUCAAGUGAUUCUCCUGCCUCAGCCUCCUGAGUAGCUGGGACUACAGGCACCCGCCACCAUGUCUGGCUAAUUUUUGUAUUUUUAGUAGAGACAGGGUUUCACCAUGUUGACCAGGCUGGCCUCGAACUUCUGAACUCAGGUGAUCUACCCAACUCGGCCUCCCAAAGUGCUGGGAUUACAGGUGUGAGCGACCAUGCCCAGUCUUGACAUUGGUAU